rnacentral:rRNA from 1 species
AUUGAACGCUGGCGGCAUGAUUUACACAUGCAAGUCGAACGGUAACAGGCCGCAAGGUGCUGACGAGUGGCGAACGGGUGAGUAAUGCAUCGGAACGUGCCCAGUCGUGGGGGAUAACUACUCGAAAGAGUAGCUAAUACCGCAUACGAUCUAUGGAUGAAAGCGGGGGACCGUAAGGCCUCGCGCGAUUGGAGCGGCCGAUGUCAGAUUAGGUAGUUGGUGGGGUAAAGGCUCACCAAGCCAACGAUCUGUAGCUGGUCUGAGAGGACGACUAGCCACACUGGGACUGAGACACGGCCCAGACUCCUACGGGAGGCAGCAGUGGGGAAUUUUGGACAAUGGGCGCAAGCCUGAUCCAGCAAUGCCGCGUGCAGGAAGAAGGCCUUCGGGUUGUAAACUGCUUUUGUACGGAACGAAACGGCUCUGGUUAAUACCCGGGGCUAAUGACGGUACCGUAAGAAUAAGCACCGGCUAACUACGUG